UACGUAGGGUGCAAGCGUUAAUCGGAAUUACUGGGCGUAAAGCGCACGUAGGCGGAUUGUUAAGUUAGGGGUGAAAUCCCAGGGCUCAACCCUGGAACUGCCUUUAAUACUGGCAAUCUCGAGUCCGAGAGAGGUGAGUGGAAUUCCGAGUGUAGAGGUGAAAUUCGUAGAUAUUCGGAGGAACACCAGUGGCGAAGGCGGCUCACUGGCUCGGUACUGACGCUGAGGUGCGAAAGCGUGGGGAGCAAACAGG
rnacentral:rRNA from 1 species